rnacentral:rRNA from 1 species
UAGGGAAUAUUGGACAAUGGGGGCAACCCUGAUCCAGCCAUGCCGCGUGAGUGAAGAAGGCCCUCGGGUUGUAAAGCUCUUUUGUCCGGAAAGAAAAGCAUUCGGUGAAUACCCGGAUGUUCUGACGGUACCGGAAGAAUAAGCUCCGGCUAACUACGUGACAGCAGCCGCGGUAAUACGUAGGGAGCAAGCGUUGUUCGGAUUUACUGGGCGUAAAGGGCGCGUAGGCGGCGCGGUAAGUCACUUGUGAAAUCUCUGAGCUUAACUCAGAACGGCCAAGUCAUACUGCUGUGCUAGAGUGCGGAAGAGGCAACCGGAAUUCUUGGUGUAGCGGUGAAAUGCGUAGAUAUCAAGAGGAACACCUGAGGCGAAGGCGGGUUGCUGGGCCGACACUGACGCUGAUGCGCGAAAGCCAGGGGAGCAAACG